UUUUUUUUGUUAUUGGAUUUGUUCUGUUGUUUUGAAUAGGAUAAGCAAAUGGUACCUGGACCGGUACCGGUACCGAAUUUACUGAAACGGUUAUAUUUUUGGUAUCGAUUCGGUACUGACUUUUGACAUUUUCGGUACCGGUAUUUACCCUGAAAUACCGAAUCGUACCGUACCAGAUAUUUGGUACCGGUACCGGUACUUGCUUUUGGGGAUUUUUGGUAUCGAUACUUUCGGUUUCGAUACCGGUCGGUACCGAGCUCAUCCCUGGUUUUGAUAACCGAGAGAUUCAAAUGAUGCUAAUUAUUUUCAUGGUUCGAAUGACAAUCGUUGAGUGAUUAUAAACAUUCGUAUUCUUUCAUUAUUGUCUGAUGAACUCUUGGUUAUUUUAUUUUAUGUUUUGAAAAGAAUUU
rnacentral:lncRNA from 1 species